GAUGUGUCAUCUUCUUCUUGGGGAAUUCUCCAAUCACCCCAAAUACUGUCUCUCAAUUCCUUAGCCUUAACAGCACCAGAAGAUAUAAUGCGAUACGGAUCCGAUCCUUUCUGGUAUCGUUAAUCCAGCUCAAAUCAUCGUGGUAGGUGUGUGUGUGUGUGAAGAAUGAAGAUGCCUCAAGGGUUUGGGCGUUUUGUUUCUGUUUCUGGUCUGUCAUAUCAAAAUCAAAGAACUAAAUCCAGGUGGGCAAUGGUUUUGUUGUUUGCGUGGAGGAUUUUAUAAAAGCUGAUGGAUCAAAAGCAUGAGUUGCGUGAGAGAGUGAUGAGCUCAAUAUAAUCUAAACAUGUUGUUGCAAAUUUCUCGAGGAAGCUUUUGUAACGGCCAAUAGGAGUGAGCAGAGGUUGAACAAGUUGGUGGGUUUUCCUAUACAUGACCCUUAAGUGCAUUGGUGAUGAUGAAUCCAUUUCACUAGUCCCAUUCCCACUUUUCAAUCAUAUUUGUUCUUAAUAUCAAAUUGUGCAAUUAGAAAAAGAGUUUUUAUUUUCUUCCCUUGA